GACGAACGCUGGCGGCGUGCUUAACACAUGCAAGUCGAGCGGUAAGGCCCUUUCGGGGGUACACGAGCGGCGAACGGGUGAGUAACACGUGGGUGACCUGCCCUUAGCUCUGGGAUAAGCCUGGGAAACUGGGUCUAAUACCGGAUAUGACUCCAUGACGCAUGUUGUGGGGUGAAAGCCUUGUGCGGCUAGGGAUGGGCCCGCGGCCUAUCAGCUUGUUGGUGGGGUGAUGGCCACCAAGGCGACGACGGGUAGCCGGCCUGAGAGGGCGACCGGCCACACUGGGACUGAGACACGGCCCAGACUCCUACGGGAGGCAGCAGUGGGGAAUCUUGCGCAAUGGGCGAAAGCCUGACGCAGCGACGCCGCGUGAGGGAUGACGGCCUGGUGU
rnacentral:rRNA from 1 species